CAGCCAUUAGCCGAGGCAACCAACAACAUAUGCUACUACGUACCAGCAGCUAGCAAAGCAAGCGAAGCGACGACCAAGACAGUAGAGUGGCCAUGGGACUGGGAGGCAAGAGGACGACGACGCAGCUCUUGGCGGCAGCACUGCUGCUGCUCCUCUGCGUGUCUGUGCAACUCCAGGGCGCUUGCGGUGCUGCUGCAGAGGGCGAGAUUGGCGAAGGAGGCGCUUGCGGUGCUUGCGGUGCUGCUGCAGAGGGCGAGAUUGGCAAAGGAGGCGGGGGCAGCAGGCCCUACACAGGCAGCGGUUCCUACUCCAGUGACAGCGUUGAAACCUCCUCGCCCGGGGCAUUCAUAAUUGCCUUGGCUCUCGCCCUCGGAAGGUUGCUGUGAUGGUGUCGGCGAGAGAGGCGGUGGCGAGUCCAGACACAGAGGCAGCUGUCCGUACUCCAGCGGUGGCGCCGGGGGACGCGACCCGCUUGGAGAUAGUGGUGCUUUGAGGGUCUCCGCUGCCGCCGCCGCCGCCGCUUGUAUCCUUUGCUACUCAUCUUUAUGCGGCGAUUACCUAGAGUGAAUUAUUACUAUAUAUAUCAGCAGUUUAAUCAGCAGCAUGCAUGUGCAAUUAUCACGUAGUAGUAGUACACUGUAUGUUAUAGAUGGUCGGCACUGUACUCGUCGGUAUAUAAUUAUCCACCCAUGUUUCGUUUGUAUGAAUGGAUGCACUGUAUAUAAUUAUAUAUUGGCAUGCAUCGAAAACUUUUGUUUGACUGUGCA